CUGUGUAUGCUAGGCAGAGCCUGUGACAUCACAGGCAAGCAGCCCUGGACUUGCGCAAGAUGGGAUCCAUUUGUGGUGGCUGAGACAUUAUGGAAUUAUCUGGACGCAGGACUGGGUGACAGUACCACGAUGAGUGGGUGGAGAGAUGGACAGACUUCUGGCUUUCCAUGGACCUCGUUUCUGAAGAUCCAUCUUGCCUUCACAGGUCGCUGGAGUCCAGGGAUCCCUUUGGCCUCUUCAAGAAUUUCACGUAAAGAAACUGUGUGCGUGGUUUCGAGGAACAGCCAGGAUGAGCUGCAACCUUGGUCCUUAUGUUUUCACCUGCAAGAUCUGCCCCCACCCCCCCGUGGAUUCCAGGGGUUGGAAGAUGGUGUUUAAAGAGACUGCAUUCCCAGAGCCCGAAUCUGCUACACCAGAAGCUUCCCCCAGGUGGACGCAGAGCUACAUCUGCGCUAGCCAGUCCUUCCUCUGCAGAGGGCUAGGAGGAAUGCCUGUGUUGUACUCAUUUUGGCCACCACACCAGCAUAUCACUCACCUCUCCCGGAAGUUAAGAGGAGCUCAGUUCGUUGCCCCAGGUUUCCAGACCCCUUGGAUGCUGUUGC